rnacentral:rRNA from 1 species
AUUGAACGCUGGCGGAAUGCUUUACACAUGCAAGUCGAACGGCAGCACGGACUGCGGUCUGGUGGCGAGUGGCGAACGGGUGAGUAAUACAUCGGAACGUGCCCAGUCGUGGGGGAUAACGUAGCGAAAGCUACGCUAAUACCGCAUACGAUCUAAGGAGGAAAGCGGGGGAUCGCAAGACCUCGCGCGAUUGGAGCGGCCGAUGGCAGAUUAGGGAGUUGGUGGGGUAAAGGCCUACCAAGCCGACGAUCUGUAGCUGGUCUGAGAGGACGACAGCCACACUGGGACUGAGACACGGCCCAGACUCCUACGGGAGGCAGCAGUGGGGAAUUUUGGACAAUGGGCGCAAGCCUGAUCCAGCCAUUCCGCGUGCAGGAUGAAGGCCCUCGGGUUGUAAACUGCUUUUGUACGGAACGAAAAGGCUCUGGUUAAUACCCGGGGCUCAUGACGGUACCGUAAGAAUAAGCACCGGCUAACUACGUGCCAGCCGCCGCCGUAA